rnacentral:rRNA from 1 species
AGAACGAACGCUGGCGGCAGGCUUAACACAUGCAAGUCGAGCGCCCCGCAAGGGGAGCGGCAGACGGGUGAGUAACGCGUGGGAACAUACCCUCCGGUUCGGAAUAGCUCAGGGAAACUUGGAUUAAUACCGGAUACGGCCUAGCGGCGAAAGAUUGAUCGCCGGAGGAUUGGCCCGCGUCUGAUUAGCUAGUUGGUGGGGUAAUGGCCCACCAAGGCGACGAUCAGUAGCUGGUCUGAGAGGAUGAUCAGCCACAUUGGGACUGAGACACGGCCCAAACUCCUACGGGAGGCAGCAGUGGGAAUAUGACAAUGGCGCAAGCCUGAUCCAGCCAUGCCGCGUGAGUGAUGACGGCCUUAGGGUUGUAAAGCUCUUUCGCUAGGGACGAUAAUGACGGUACCUAGACAAGAAGCCCCGGAUAACUCGUGCCAGCAACCGC